GACGAACGCUGGCGGCGUGCCUAAUACAUGCAAGUCGAACGAACUCAGGUAUUGAUUGGUGCUUGCAUCAUGAUUUACAUUUGAGUGAGUGGCGAACUGGUGAGUAACACGUGGGAAACCUGCCCAGAAGCGGGGGAUAACACCUGGAAACAGAUGCUAAUACCGCAUAACAACUUGGACCGCAUGGUCCGAGUUUGAAAGAUGGCUUCGGCUAUCACUUUUGGAUGGUCCCGCGGCGUAUUAGCUAGAUGGUGGGGUAACGGCUCACCAUGGCAAUGAUACGUAGCCGACCUGAGAGGGUAAUCGGCCACAUUGGGACUGAGACACGGCCCAAACUCCUACGGGAGGCAGCAGUAGGGAAUCUUCCACAAUGGACGAAAGUCUGAUGGAGCAACGCCGCGUGAGUGAAGAAGGGUUUCGGCUCGUAAAACUCUGUUGUUAAAGAAGAACAUAUCUGAGAGUAACUGUUCAGGUAUUGACGGUAUUUAACCAGAAAGCCACGGCUAACUACGUGCCAGCAGCCGCGGUAAUACGUAGGUGGCAAGCGUUGUCCGGAUUUAUUGGGCGUAAAGCGAGCGCAGGCGGUUUUUUAAGUCUGAUGUGAAAGCCUUCGGCUCAACCGAAGAAGUGCAUCGGAAACUGGGAAACUUGAGUGCAGAAGAGGACAGUGGAACUCCAUGUGUAGCGGUGAAAUGCGUAGAUAUAUGGAAGAACACCAGUGGCGAAGGCGGCUGUCUGGUCUGUAACUGACGCUGAGGCUCGAAAGUAUGGGUAGCGAACAGGAUUAGAUACCCUGGUAGUCCAUACCGUAAACGAUGAAUGCUAAGUGUUGGAGGGUUUCCGCCCUUCAGUGCUGCAGCUAACGCAUUAAGCAUUCCGCCUGGGGAGUACGGCCGCAAGGCUGAAACUCAAAGGAAUUGACGGGGGCCCGCACAAGCGGUGGAGCAUGUGGUUUAAUUCGAAGCUACGCGAAGAACCUUACCAGGUCUUGACAUACUAUGCAAAUCUAAGAGAUUAGACGUUCCCUUCGGGGACAUGGAUACAGGUGGUGCAUGGUUGUCGUCAGCUCGUGUCGUGAGAUGUUGGGUUAAGUCCCGCAACGAGCGCAACCCUUAUUAUCAGUUGCCAGCAUUAAGUUGGGCACUCUGGUGAGACUGCCGGUGACAAACCGGAGGAAGGUGGGGAUGACGUCAAAUCAUCAUGCCCCUUAUGACCUGGGCUACACACGUGCUACAAUGGAUGGUACAACGAGUUGCGAACUCGCGAGAGUAAGCUAAUCUCUUAAAGCCAUUCUCAGUUCGGAUUGUAGGCUGCAACUCGCCUACAUGAAGUCGGAAUCGCUAGUAAUCGCGGAUCAGCAUGCCGCGGUGAAUACGUUCCCGGGCCUUGUACACACCGCCCGUCACACCAUGAGAGUUUGUAACACCCAAAGUCGGUGGGGUAACCUUUUAGGAACCAGCCGCCUAAGGUGGGACAGAUGAUUAGGGUG
rnacentral:rRNA from 1 species